GUGAAUCAUCGAAUUUUUGAACGCAAAUUGCACUUUCUUCGGUGAGUAUGCCUGUUUGAGGGCCAGUAUUAUUAAAGAUCGGAGUGUUGCUUCUUUGUGGCGCUCCGGAGUUUGGGUCAUCUUAAUACCCACUCGGUUUUAAGAGGCUUCAAAUUGACUUUUUUUGCGCAUUUUAGAUGUACAUAAAUUCUUUUUUUUAUUCGUCUGUAUUAAUCCUCAAACUCCUAUUAGAUGCCACCAUAUGGUGUGGUUUCGUGUCUAUAUAUUUUUCAUGAUUUGACCUCAAAUCAGUUAGGU
rnacentral:misc_RNA from 1 species